rnacentral:rRNA from 1 species
UACAGAGGUCCCAAGCGUUGUUCGGAUUCACUGGGCGUAAAGGGUGCGUAGGCGGUCGGGUAAGUCUGACGUGAAAUCUCCAAGCUCAACUUGGAAAUGGCGUCGGAUACUAUUCGGCUCGAGGAAUGGAGGGGAGACUGGAAUUUACGGUGUAGCGGUGAAAUGCGUAGAUAUCGUAAGGAAGACCAGUGGCGAAGGCGGGUCUCUGGACAGUUCCUGACGCUGAGGCACGAAGGUCAGGGGAGCAAACGGG